rnacentral:rRNA from 1 species
AUUGAACGCUGGCGGCAUGCCUUACACAUGCAAGUCGAACGGCAGCAUGAUCUAGCUUGCUAGAUUGAUGGCGAGUGGCGAACGGGUGAGUAAUACAUCGGAACGUGCCCUGUAGUGGGGGAUAACUAGUCGAAAGAUUAGCUAAUACCGCAUACGACCUGAGGGUGAAAGUGGGGGACCGCAAGGCCUCAUGCUAUAGGAGCGGCCGAUGUCUGAUUAGCUAGUUGGUGAGGUAAAGGCUCACCAAGGCGACGAUCAGUAGCUGGUCUGAGAGGACGAUCAGCCACACUGGGACUGAGACACGGCCCAGACUCCUACGGGAGGCAGCAGUGGGGAAUUUUGGACAAUGGGCGGAAGCCUGAUCCAGCAAUGCCGCGUGUGUGAAGAAGGCCUUCGGGUUGUAAAGCACUUUUGUCCGGAAAGAAAUGGCUCUGGUUAAUACCUGGGGUCGAUGACGGUACCGGAAGAAUAAGAACCGGCUAACUACGUG